AGCGUACACGGUGGAUGCCCUGGCAGUCAGAGGCGAUGAAGGACGUGCUAAUCUGCGAUAAGCGUCGGUAAGGUGAUAUGAACCGUUAUAACCGGCGAUUUCCGAAUGGGGAAACCCAGUGUGAUUCGUCACACUAUCAUUAACUGAAUCCAUAGGUUAAUGAGGCGAACCGGGGGAACUGAAACAUCUAAGUACCCCGAGGAAAAGAAAUCAACCGAGAUUCCCCCAGUAGCGGCGAGCGAACGGGGAGCAGCCCAGAGCCUGAAUCAGUGUGUGUGUUAGUGGAAGCGUCUGGAAAGGCGCGCGAUACAGGGUGACAGCCCCGUACACAAAAAUGCACAUACUGUGAGCUCGAUGAGUAGGGCGGGACACGUGGUAUCCUGUCUGAAUAUGGGGGGACCAUCCUCCAAGGCUAAAUACUCCUGACUGACCGAUAGUGAACCAGUACCGUGAGGGAAAGGCGAAAAGAACCCCGGCGAGGGGAGUGAAAAAGAACCUGAAACCGUGUACGUACAAGCAGUGGGAGCACAGAGCAAUCUGUGUGACUGCGUACCUUUUGUAUAAUGGGUCAGCGACUUAUAUUCUGUAGCAAGGUUAACCGAAUAGGGGAGCCGAAGGGAAACCGAGUCUUAACUGGGCGUUAAGUUGCAGGGUAUAGACCCGAAACCCGGUGAUCUAGCCAUGGGCAGGUUGAAGGUUGGGUAACACUAACUGGAGGACCGAACCGACUAAUGUUGAAAAAUUAGCGGAUGACUUGUGGCUGGGGGUGAAAGGCCAAUCAAACCGGGAGAUAGCUGGUUCUCCCCGAAAGCUAUUUAGGUAGCGCCUCGUGAAUUCAUCUCCGGGGGUAGAGCACUGUUUCGGCAAGGGGGUCAUCCCGACUUACCAACCCGAUGCAAACUGCGAAUACCGGAGAAUGUUAUCACGGGAGACACACGGCGGGUGCUAACGUCCGUCGUGAAGAGGGAAACAACCCAGACCGCCAGCUAAGGUCCCAAAGUCAUGGUUAAGUGGGAAACGAUGUGGGAAGGCCCAGACAGCCAGGAUGUUGGCUUAGAAGCAGCCAUCAUUUAAAGAAAGCGUAAUAGCUCACUGGUCGAGUCGGCCUGCGCGGAAGAUGUAACGGGGCUAAACCAUGCACCGAAGCUGCGGCAGCGACGCUUAUGCGUUGUUGGGUAGGGGAGCGUUCUGUAAGCCUGUGAAGGUGUACUGUGAGGUAUGCUGGAGGUAUCAGAAGUGCGAAUGCUGACAUAAGUAACGAUAAAGCGGGUGAAAAGCCCGCUCGCCGGAAGACCAAGGGUUCCUGUCCAACGUUAAUCGGGGCAGGGUGAGUCGACCCCUAAGGCGAGGCCGAAAGGCGUAGUCGAUGGGAAACAGGUUAAUAUUCCUGUACUUGGUGUUACUGCGAAGGGGGGACGGAGAAGGCUAUGUUGGCCGGGCGACGGUUGUCCCGGUUUAAGCGUGUAGGCUGGUUUUCCAGGCAAAUCCGGAAAAUCAAGGCUGAGGCGUGAUGACGAGGCACUACGGUGCUGAAGCAACAAAUGCCCUGCUUCCAGGAAAAGCCUCUAAGCAUCAGGUAACAUCAAAUCGUACCCCAAACCGACACAGGUGGUCAGGUAGAGAAUACCAAGGCGCUUGAGAGAACUCGGGUGAAGGAACUAGGCAAAAUGGUGCCGUAACUUCGGGAGAAGGCACGCUGAUAUGUAGGUGAAGUCCCUCGCGGAUGGAGCUGAAAUCAGUCGAAGAUACCAGCUGGCUGCAACUGUUUAUUAAAAACACAGCACUGUGCAAACACGAAAGUGGACGUAUACGGUGUGACGCCUGCCCGGUGCCGGAAGGUUAAUUGAUGGGGUCAGCGCAAGCGAAGCUCUUGAUCGAAGCCCCGGUAAACGGCGGCCGUAACUAUAACGGUCCUAAGGUAGCGAAAUUCCUUGUCGGGUAAGUUCCGACCUGCACGAAUGGCGUAAUGAUGGCCAGGCUGUCUCCACCCGAGACUCAGUGAAAUUGAACUCGCUGUGAAGAUGCAGUGUACCCGCGGCAAGACGGAAAGACCCCGUGAACCUUUACUAUAGCUUGACACUGAACAUUGAGCCUUGAUGUGUAGGAUAGGUGGGAGGCUUUGAAGUGUGGACGCCAGUCUGCAUGGAGCCGACCUUGAAAUACCACCCUUUAAUGUUUGAUGUUCUAACGUGGACCCGUGAUCCGGGUUGCGGACAGUGUCUGGUGGGUAGUUUGACUGGGGCGGUCUCCUCCUAAAGAGUAACGGAGGAGCACGAAGGUUGGCUAAUCCUGGUCGGACAUCAGGAGGUUAGUGCAAUGGCAUAAGCCAGCUUGACUGCGAGCGUGACGGCGCGAGCAGGUGCGAAAGCAGGUCAUAGUGAUCCGGUGGUUCUGAAUGGAAGGGCCAUCGCUCAACGGAUAAAAGGUACUCCGGGGAUAACAGGCUGAUACCGCCCAAGAGUUCAUAUCGACGGCGGUGUUUGGCACCUCGAUGUCGGCUCAUCACAUCCUGGGGCUGAAGUAGGUCCCAAGGGUAUGGCUGUUCGCCAUUUAAAGUGGUACGCGAGCUGGGUUUAGAACGUCGUGAGACAGUUCGGUCCCUAUCUGCCGUGGGCGCUGGAGAAUUGAGGGGGGCUGCUCCUAGUACGAGAGGACCGGAGUGGACGCAUCACUGGUGUUCGGGUUGUCAUGCCAAUGGCACUGCCCGGUAGCUAAAUGCGGAAGAGAUAAGUGCUGAAAGCAUCUAAGCACGAAACUUGCCCCGAGAUGAGUUCUCCCUGACUCCUUGA
rnacentral:rRNA from 1 species